AGCGAACGCUGGCGGCAGGCCUAACACAUGCAAGUCGAACGGGCCCCUUCGGGGGUCAGUGGCAGACGGGUGAGUAACGCGUGGGAACGUGCCCUUCAGUUCGGAACAACCCAGGGAAACUUGGGCUAAUACCGGAUACGCCCUUCGGGGGAAAGAUUCAUCGCUGAAGGAUCGGCCCGCGUCUGAUUAGCUAGUUGGGGGGGUAACGGCCCACCAAGGCGACGAUCAGUAGCUGGUCUGAGAGGAUGAUCAGCCACACUGGGACUGAGACACGGCCCAGACUCCUACGGGAGGCAGCAGUGGGGAAUAUUGGACAAUGGGCGAAAGCCUGAUCCAGCCAUGCCGCGUGAGUGAUGAAGGCCCUAGGGUUGUAAAGCUCUUUCGGCGGGGACGAUAAUGACGGUACCCGCAGAAGAAGCCCCGGCUAACUUCGUGCCAGCCGCCGCCGUAAAAC
rnacentral:rRNA from 1 species